rnacentral:lncRNA from 1 species
UGUAUAUGUGUGUGUGUAUAAUUGGAUACAUAUGUGUUUAAUAUAAAAUUAAAUCUAAUUAUAUGCAACAUGUCACUUCCAUAGUUUUUUGGUGAGAAGCUUUAAAAUCUACUCUUUAAGCAAUUUUGAAAUAUACAAUACAUUAUUAUUAACUAUGGUCAGCAUGUUAUGCAAUAGAUCACUGAAUCUUAUUCCUCCUGUCUAACUGGAAGUGAAAUAAGCCAGGCACAGAGAACAAAGGCUUUUGAAAUAGCUGUCUUUGACUCAUGGUCAAAGUCACUCUGUCCUCAUUUUAGCAAACCCAUCGUACCACAGCCAAGGAGCUGGCCGGGGCCUCAUACUGUCACUUGUUUCGGAUAGCUGAGCUUCAAUUCUGUCCGUAGCCUUGUUUUACAUCUCGAACCACAGUUUCGACAACUCAGUCCUUCUGUUUCCGGAGUGCCUUGUCUAGGCUUCCUAUUUCUCCAGGUGCUUGCAACCCUCCAGGACUGGUUGUUGUCCUUAAAUUCCUUCUCAAUUACUAGAAUUUUCCUACUUAAAGACCCUUCCUACUUCUGUGACACUGAUUUUCCCUCCACAUGGUCACAAGCUAUUGAAGGGGUGGCUUCGGAUACCUGCUGAAAAACCCACAUUCAUUCAUUUUGCACCUUUUGAGGCUCUGGGCCUCAGGUCAUAUCCUGAGGAGAGUGUUGUCUAACUAUUGGCUUUUUUCUGUAGUGCUGCUGCUAUGUGGGUGGCUGCUCCCAGCAUAUUCAUCUGACAGCGUGAUAAAUGGUGUGUUGUCUAGGGGACAGGCCUAGGCUGAGAUGUGAGCUACUAGUUUAGAGCUUGUCAACCGAGACAUGGAGUUUUGAAGCCAUCCAGGGAGAGGGUGACUGAGUAGCUGAGAGGGCUGUCGCAGGGUUGAUGGGGACAUUGAGAGCCAGGGGUGUGCCAGGAACAGGAUCUGGAAAGGAAUAGAGGAGCCAUGAUGGGGAGAAGAGAGCCAGUGAGGGUACACUGCUGUAGGGAGGGUUUCCAGGGUUUCCAGAGGGUGUGGACAGAAUGGCUCAAAAGCCAUGUCAAGGGACAGAAUACUGUUGGUGUGCCUCAGUUGGAAAGAGCCCAGAGAUGAGCUGGCCAGUGGGUUCUGUUGGUAAGUAGUCAUGUGACCUCUGCCAAGCCAUUAUUCUCUUUGUGCCUCCAUUUCUUGGGCAAAGGGAGGAGGCUGGACUAAGUGAACUCAAGUUAGUCUUUAUGGCUCUAAGAGGACACUGUCAUAGUGGACACAAGACCCGGCGGGCGCCAUCACCUCUCCUUUAUCACUCUCCCACUAGAGCCCCUUGGAGGGCUGGGCGCGGCCCCCAUGCUCUGUCUGGCUUCUUCCUCUCCCUCACACUCCCCGCUCUCUCCUUCACUCUCUGUGCUCCUGAUGCCACUUACACUCUGUCCUUCCCCACUCAAUUAGAAAUCCUGGCUAAUACAAUUAGACAAAAUACUACAUAACAAUAAGGUAAACAUGAGAGGGAGAAAGAAAAUUCUAAUUAUCUGCAGAUGACCAUACUAUCUAUACAAAUAAACUGGGAGUCUCAGAUCAACUAACAGAACUCAUAAGAGAGCCCACCACGACUGCAGGAUCAAUAUAAAAACAAUAGUAUUCUUAUGCAUCAACAUUGACCAAUUAGAAAAGGUAAUUUUAAAAAUUACUGUUUAAAAAUUUUCUCCCCCAGCAGCCUAGACAUCCUGUUGCGUGCAUACUGGUGCCCAGGUAAUGUAAACAGGAGAACAGUUAAGAUCCUGCUGGUCGGUUGCCUGGAUCUGGUGGUCUCUUCUUGCACCAAAGCCAUCUUGUUUUAAAGUUACAGGUUUCUAGGAAGACUUAGUGUCUGGGAGGCCAAGUACCUCUUCUUGUUCAGAAUGUUUUUAGCUCACUUUUUAUUACGGAUCAGUUUGUCAUGUUCAAUGAAAAGUCCAUUUGGGUUCUGGAUUUAAAUUAUAUUGAAUUUCUAAAUUUUUGUUAUGAAAGAUAUUUAAAGCCUAAGAAUUAAUGAAAGGGUCGUGUAUAAAACAUCCAGAAAUAUGCUCUUUUUGUGUUUCGUCUUUUCAUCAAAUGGCAUGGCAUGUCUAUCAAAGAAUUCUGAUUACUUUUUGUUCCUUCGGAGACUCUUUUUUUUCUUCAUAAAAUCAAUAAUAAUUUUCGUUAGACUCAAUCUUAGGUACCUAAAGUCUUUUUGUUGUUUUAUAAACAGAAUUUUAAAAAUUACCUUUGCUAAUUGGUCGGUGUUUAUAUAUAAGAAUACUAUUGUUUUUAUGUUGACCUUACAGUGUCCGUGGGCUCUUCUGGGUUCUGUUAGUUGAUCUGAGACUCUCAAUUUAUUUGUAUAGAAUUUUCUUUCUCCCUUUCAUAUCCUUAAUUUACCUUAUUCUGAUGUAGUAUUUUGUCUAAUUAUUUUAGCCAGGAUUUCUAAUUGAGUGGGGCAGGACAGAGUGUAAGUGGCAUCAGAUGUUUAACUUGAUGGGAACAUGGAAGAUUCCAGUAAUACAAUGUUUGCUUUAUCAUUGUUACUAUUUAUAAUAGAACCAAUUAAUCAGGAUAAGGUCCUUUUGUCUGUCUGGAAUGUUCUUGUCCCCAGGUUGCAUGUCCUUAGAACGAUCUUUCCUGACCCCUAUCUGUCACUUCAUAAGGCAACAUCACUCACCUUGCUUGAGUGUUUCCAUGGCACUUAGGGCAACUUAUAGAACCUUAAAUUACAGGACACACCCCUCUCUUUGUUUAUUGAUUGUCUGCUGCUGGAACAUAAACUUCUGGGCAGGGACAUGACUGUCUCUCCAGUAUCCUAUCCUUACCCUUAGCAGAAUGCUGUCCAGCCAUUGGCAGCCAGUAGCUUCUCAUUUCAUAUGUUCAUUGACAGAUGACUGUAUUUUCAUCUUCAGGACUACCCAGAGAUUGGACAAUUUUCUAGAAGAACCCACGGAACUUGUGACAGCCGUUAUCGCUGUGAUUAGGGAUUGCUACAUGGGGAGAAUACAGAUGCACUUUGGCAAAGAGAAGAGCCCAGGAAAACCGCCAGACAUGGAGCCCCUGUUGUCCUCUCUCUGUGGAGUCAUGGCUGGUGCUGCUCUCCUACAACCACAUGUCACAAUGGCCAAAGAGAAUUAUCUAUUGCCGAAGCUCAA